AAGAAAUUCAAGGGGAUGGCACCUGCCUUUUGGGGCGGGCGGAGAGUCAGCUGCUGCCUCUGGAGCAGAGCUCCAGAGCCAGCUGCCUCCUGCAGCGAUGCCAGGUCCCCUCACCUGAGAUUUUAGGGUGUUUAACAGUUUCCUUCCGGUAGGACAUUUGGGGACUGAUUAAAAUGGAUGCCCAGCUCUGUCUGGAUGGGGCUGGUAGUUUUGCUGGGGAGCAUGACCCACCUGGCUUCCAAGGAGGAAAUAACACUGCUUCUCAGUCACCAGUUUCUGACUUUUUGCAGCCACCCAGAACUGGCUGUUCCAAUUGAACCUCUCCAUCCUGACAUCACGCGGUUGGUCUUUUACAGGACUUACUCCACUUCACUAACUCUGUCACGUCCUCAGGUCUACGAAGGGCUUAAAGGAAACUCUCCUCUACAAGGUGGGGAAGUAGCGUCCAUGUGGAAACACUGCAUCCAUGCAAGUGCCUAGAGGUAAGCAGGGCCCAGGUGUGUCUCGGGCAGAUGGUCUCACUGAGAUAUUAAGAGAAGCACUGGGACACAUUGGAAGGAAUGUAGAGGAAAGAAGCAGACUGACAGAUUUGUGAUGUUUCUGGAUUCAGGAGAUGACCAACAAAGGGCCUAGCAAGUGACCAGCGAUACAACUGUUUAUCGAAACAAGGAGGCAGGACUGGUGGUCUAGAAUGAGCAGUGUGAUACACAUGUGAAAUUGGUAAAAAUAAAAAUAAAAAUAAAUCCAUUUGACAGGACUCUCUGCUGCCACCAAGCCUGAUAGUUUGUCUGGUGGCUUCAAAGGUUUUUGGGAGUGGUUGUAGAGGGACACAGCAGCACUGCUGGUGUCUGUAGCUUGGUGUCAUAGGUCGUCAGGUGCAGGGGUAAGGGUGAUGGAUAACCUAGAGAUCCUAACGAGCCUUUCUCGUAAGGAUCAUACCCUAAUGAGGAACACUGACACUCUCAGUCCUAUCUGUUAACUUUGAUCUUGGUCACUGUCAGCCAGUGGAGUCAGUAGGAAUUGUAGGAGUCAGAAGAAACAUUUUUGCCUAAGAGGUUCUUCUGUCUCUCAAGUGCCUGCUAUUUGGCUAAUUUAUCUGAAGGGAAGGUUAUUUGUUAACUGCCUCUUAAGAGUUCCCAAUAAAGCUGAAGGAGGGGUGACAACUCCUCUUCACAACCACCCCGGAGGGGAGGCAGGGCUGGCACUGCAGGCACCUACCCAGGCUGGUUAGCACUGGCGGCAGGUACUGAGCAUCUGCAGAGUAGCUGCAGAUAUGAUUUAGCAUCCUCGGUAUGCUGGUGCCCAUCUGGAGUGGCAGCAAGCUGGGAGGAGUAUCCUCGGACAGCCCAAAGCAGAAUGAGGUCCUUGUGUUUUGGCAACUGAAUACCACCCAUCUGUUUCUAAAGAGGGCUUUUGAAUUCAGAGCACUCUGAGGAAGGAAGAGAAUUGAAUAUGGAGCAGAAGGAGAGCAAGUGAGCCUCAAGUGCUGGGCAGUGAGAGCAACUUCAGGGAGGGUCAGCCCUGGUUUCUGGGGCUGGAGAACCUCUGUCUCAGGCAACAGGGACUUGAACCUGAAGCAUCUGUGCUGUGGUCUGUAGUCCCUGUCCCCAUCCAUCAAGCUUUAGUUUUCAUUCCAGAGGAGAAUGAAUAAUCCUUGGCGGUGGCUGUGAAGAGGAAUUGUCACCCUUCCUUCAGCUCUAUCAGAAACUCUUCAAGAGGCAGUUAACAAAUAACCUUCCCUUGGGAUAAAUUAGCUCUGAAUCCCAAUUCAAUAGAUGCUCAUUUUAAGAUGUCCUUGUUACCUUGUGUGAGUGGCUGAUCUUCCUUUGAAUCCUGCUGUGUUUUCAGACCCCGUGAUUGCUGCGAGCAAUCAUGAGUUCCACAUUAACAGCUCAUGCACUGAUUGCACUGAGCAGUCCCAACACAACCUUUUGUGAAAAGUUUUUGAAAGUUGAGCUCCACGCUAUGCUAUCAGAAAGCUACACAGAUCUCACUCCAGCACAUACUCUGGCAACUGACUUCAAAUGAGACCUGGUUUGCAGGGGCUGGUGUGCAGACAAGAACUGUGCUUCAGAGUCCAGCUUUUGAAAUAAUAUCUUUUAGGCAUUGUCAAGGAAACCUGGUGAUGACGCACAGUUGGCCAACUGCGCCUCUAGGCAGCCUGGAGCAAAGGCUCUGAGACGUUCAAAUAGUAACCCUAAUGGAUUUUUUUUUUCUCCUGGCCAACACUGUUCCAGAGUAGGAGAGUGUCAUUGGAUAGCUACAAAGAAGAAAGAACUGCAUCAGAAAUAAAACCCUCCUGCCAUGUCAUCUUGCCCAGACCUUCCAGUGAGACAGCCUUUCAACUCAGAGUAGGACUACGUCUUGUGUACCGAAAGUAUUGCCACUGUUUGGAAAAGCAAGCCAUCCUUAUUAAUAAGCCUCUCCAAGAACAAUGAAAUGUAACAUGCAAUCUUGCACAGAUGCUCUAAUAUAUAGCUUUGACUUUUGAGACAGUUGAUAGAUUUUUUUUUCUCUCACACCAAUGGCAGCUGUAGUGUAAGGUAUUGUGUCGAUUAAAAAUCUAUUUAAUCAAAUGCUGUCAGGGGAAGAGUACAAAACAUUUGAAGAAUGACUCCUAAAAGCUGUCCCUUGACUGGGAGUGAAGUUAUCCAGAGAUUGGCCAGCAGGCUGGAGUGAAAUACUCUCUGCUCACCUUUACGUCUAAAGCUACCAACAAGCUACAGUGAUGAGUAUUGAGAGAAACCUUUGUCCAGUAGAACAGUGUAGGCUGUGGUCAUUUCUUUUCUGAGAGAUUUUCCCCCAAGAAACCUUUGUUAUAGAUAAAACCCAUUACGCAAAUUAUCAAUCCCUACUUACACUUCAAAUUCCUAUAUCCCAAAUCCAUGGGAUAGAUUAGAUAAUCUUAAUGUGGAAUGUAAAAGUAGGUUGGAAAUCAUUGCUGUGCAAAUUGUGUAGAGGGUUUUUUCCUGUUCCGUGCUUGAAACGGACUUCAAAAGAAUAAAUAAAAUCCAUUCUGGUAGCCCCCAGUGAGGAGUAUACUUCUUUGCAGAAAGGGAAAAAAACCAACAACCUCCCAAUAUUUUAUUCAGCUCAGAGUGAAAUGUUUUGAUAUGGGGGAAUUUAGCUAAUUUUCUUACUUCUCAAAAUAGGUCAACUUUGAAAUAGAAAAUGUCACAUUGAAAAAAAAA